CUGAGCUCUUAUGUAGUCAGAAGAUCAAGGGACUUUUGAGAUCUGCUUUGUCAUUUGGGCUUCAGAAGGUUGCUAUUCAAUUAAUCCUGAAGUGCAUUGGACUCCACUGCUUUGAAUCACAAGGGAUUAAGAGCACCACUUCACAGUCCAGGGAUGAGACCACAACCUCUACACCACAAACCAUCCUGGGGACUGUAGCAAAUCGCCUCAGAGGGCAACGACCAGACAACAGUGGAGAUGGAAAGUGGAAGAUUGAGAGAUUUACUUCUAAAGAAGAAAGAGUAAAAUAAAUAUUCAGAAAGAUUUGGAGACUUUAGACAAUGAAAAAUUGCCUGGUGUACUCCAAAGAGGGACUAUUGGGAACGAUUGCAGGUUAGCAAAGUAAUACCCAUUGAAAAGUGUUUUUUUGUGUUGAGCUAGACUUAUGUUAAGCUUAAUAGUGCAACCGUUUACUCAAGUGAGCUAUACCACUGCUUGCAGAAGGACUAGUUCUUUAUAUGAGUUCUACUAUAAAACAGUCCUAUGAGGAACAAAAAGAAGGUUCUUGAAGGGAAGGCUUUGAGAAGUAGUCUGGGAAGGACUCAUUCUGGAAGAUGGCCUUGAUGUGAAAGGCGGGUGAGUUUAAUGAAUUCUUUGUCAUUAGAUCUGAGUGGAGGACUAAACACAAAGAGCAGGAAUUAUCUCACAACUGUAAAACUUCAGUUGUGUUCUGACAGGAAACUGUGGUAGGAAAUAACAAGGGGAACAGGGCAUUAGCAUGAGGCACGGCUCUUACAGCCUGUAAUACUAUUGAAAAUGAAUGGAAGAGCGGACACCUAAUUUUCCUAUUUAAAGUAUUUGUAUUGUAAUAUUACAUAUUAGUAAACUACUCCUUCAAAACAUCAUGGUACUUUGAACUUGUGAAAUACUCAGUGAUGGUUCUCAACAAUAAAAGUCAGGUUUAAUGGAAUUGAAACUUAUAU
rnacentral:lncRNA from 1 species